rnacentral:rRNA from 1 species
UACAGAGGGUGCAAACGUUGCUCGGAAUCAUUGGGCGUAAAGCGCACGUAGGCGGCCCAGCAAGCGGGGAGUGAAAUCCCUCGGCUUAACCGAGGAACUGCCUGUCAGACUGGAAGGCUUGAGACCGGGAGAGGUGAGUGGAAUUCCCAGUGUAGCGGUGAAAUGCGUAGAUAUUGGGAGGAACACCAGUGGCGAAGGCGGCUCACUGGACCGGUACUGACGCUGAGGCGCGAAAGCGUGGGGAGCAAACAGG